UACGGAGGGUGCAAGCGUUAUCCGGAUUUACUGGGUUUAAAGGGUGUGUAGGCGGACUUUUAAGUCAGCGGUGAAAUCUCCGGGCUCAACCCGGAAACUGCCAUUGAUACUAUUAGUCUUGAAUAUUGGUUGGAAGGUAGGCGGAACGGGUCAUGUAGCGGUGAAAUGCAUAGAUAUGUCAACAGAACACCAAUUGCGAAGGCAGCUUCUAAAGUAUAU
rnacentral:rRNA from 1 species